CAGGUGAAUGUUGUGGGCUGAGAACUCUCCUGCAGUGCUUGCACCAAGCAGCUUUAAGGGGCAGCUCGUGCAAGAGGUGUUUUAUGGUAAUAUUAAGUUUUGCAGCUCAGUCUGCAGUUUGCUGCAAUGAUUGUCACACCCCUGCUGAGGCUGCAGUGGGCCAAAGGUGCAGACACUGCCCCUGCCUCCUUCCCUGCAACCUGUUUAUUGCAGGCUUCUCCAGCGGGGCUGAGCAACCCUUGGGCUCCUGUGACCGUGCUGUAUUUUUAACGAGGACUCUUUGGCCAGAGGAGCUGCUGGCGAGGAACCUUGUGUGAAUUUAAGGGAGCUUCCUCAACCGUGGCACUGCUGGGAGCUGGCCAGCCAGCACGUUUGAUGUGCACCAACAGUCAGAGAGCCAGGCUCCCCUGGAUGGGAAAGUGUCACCAAGAUGGGACUUCCCAUGGAGCCUGGGGAUAUCUUGGAAUUAAAAAAAAAGGAAGGAAAAUAUCCUCCAGAUUUCCUCCUGGAAGGAAAGCUAGCAGGUGCCAUGCAGACAGGAACAAAAGCCCUUGUGUAGCUGAGCAGUGAUUUGUGUCUUCUCCAUUAGGAUACUGCAAAGUGUGCGAAAUUCUGCCUCGGUUGUAAAUGCUCCGCUGCCCUUCACCUUCAGCAUGGACAGAAAUAUCAAUAUUGCAUUUCUCUGGCUGCACAGGAGCAGUGCAGGUGCACACACCAGCUCCAGCUUCCCUAAGGGCAAGUAAAGGGGUCCCAAAGCAGCUGCUGAGGCAGCAGCACUCAGCCACCCACGGGCAGCCCGUGGGGGCUCACACAGCUCACUCCCACGGGAAUUGCACCCCACACAGAGCUGAGAUGAUGUGCAUGCAAGAAGGUCUCACCUGUCCCACCUGCCGGCCUUCUGGGGCCCUUGGGAGUGGCUGUGACAAAACAGAUGGGGAGGAAAAGCGUUAA